rnacentral:tRNA from 1 species
GCGCACGUGGCGUAAUUGGUAGCCGCGCUAGACUUAGGAUCUAGUGUCGUGAGACGUGGGGGUUCGAGUCCCUUCGUGCGCACCA